rnacentral:rRNA from 1 species
AUUACUCCUACGGGAGGCAGCAGUAAGGAAUAUUGGUCAAUGGACGCAAGUCUGAACCAGCCAUGCCGCGUGAAGGAUGAAGGUCCUCUGGAUUGUAAACUUCUUUUCUCUGGGACGAAACCCCCGAUUUCCAUCGGGCCUGACGGUACCAGAGGAAUAAGCACCGGCUAACUCCGUGCCAGCAGCCGCGGUAAUAAU